rnacentral:rRNA from 1 species
AGAGUUUGAUCCUGGCUCAGGACGAACGCUGGCGGCACGCUUAACACAUGCAAGUCGAACGAGAGAAGAGAAGCUUGCUUUUCUGAUCUAGUGGCGGACGGGUGAGUAACACGUGAGCAAUCUGCCUUUCAGAGGGGGAUACCGAUUGGAAACGAUCGUUAAUACCGCAUAACAUAAUUGAACCGCAUGAUUUGAUUAUCAAAGAUUUAUCGCUGAAAGAUGAGCUCGCGUCUGAUUAGCUAGUUGGUAAGGUAACGGCUUACCAAGGCGACGAUCAGUAGCCGGACUGAGAGGUUGAUCGGCCACAUUGGGACUGAGACACGGCCCAGACUCCUACGGGAGGCAGCAGUGGGGAAUAUUGCACAAUGGAGGAAACUCUGAUGCAGCGAUGCCGCGUGAGGGAAGAAGGUUUUAGGAUUGUAAACCUCUGUCUUCGGGGACGAAAAAAGACGGUACCUGAGGAGGAAGCUCCGGCUAACUACGUGCCAGCAGCCGCGGUAAUACGUAGGGAGCGAGCGUUGUCCGGAAUUACUGGGUGUAAAGGGAGCGUAGGCGGGAUCGCAAGUCAGAUGUGAAAACUAUGGGCUUAACCCAUAAACUGCAUUUGAAACUGUGGUUCUUGAGUGAAGUAGAGGUAAGCGGAAUUCCUAGUGUAGCGGUGAAAUGCGUAGAUAUUAGGAGGAACAUCAGUGGCGAAGGCGGCUUACUGGGCUUUAACUGACGCUGAGGCUCGAAAGCGUGGGGAGCAAACAGGAUUAGAUACCCUGGUAGUCCACGCCGUAAACGAUGAUUACUAGGUGUGGGGGGACUGACCCCUUCCGUGCCGCAGCAAACGCAAUAAGUAAUCCACCUGGGGAGUACGACCGCAAGGUUGAAACUCAAAGGAAU